GGGCUUCAUAGUCUUGCAAUUGGAAUGAGUAGAUUUUAAAUCUCUUUACGAGUAUCAAUUGGAGGGCAAGUCUGGUGCCAGCAGCCGCGGUAAUUCCAGCUCCAAUAGCGUAUAUUAAAGUUGUCGCGGUUAAAAAGCUCGUAGUUGGAUUUCUGCCAAGAACGACCGUCCUACCUUCGGGUUUUGGACCGUGUUGAUCGAGGCGUUCUUCUAGAUUCUAUCUACUCUUAAUUGCUGUAGAAUUGAACUAGAACAUUUACUUUGAGGAAAUUAGAGCGUUUCAAGCAGGC
rnacentral:rRNA from 1 species